rfam:Plasmodium berghei, WGS project CAAI01000000 data, contig: PB_PH2306
AGUAGCAAUUAUUCAAAUGAGAACUUUGAAGACUGAAGUGGAGAAGGGUUUCUUGUCAACUGUGAUUGUACAAGAGUUAGCCGCUCUUAAGGGAAAGCUGAAAAGCAUUUAAAUUGGGAUAUGGUGUAGCAAGUAAUUGCUGCAUCUUAUUCCUGUCUCAAAAGGGAAACAGGUUAAUAUUCCUGUGCUUAAGUUAUUUUGUUUAUUGAAAUAUAGUUGGUAACAUAAAUUGAAUGAACUCUUUAACAUAGGUUUUACGAUCGAGAUGCGUUAUCUUUGCAUUUUAACUUUAUAACAAACUUCGGAAUCAAUUUAAUUGGAGAACAGGUUUGUUGAAUUGCAAUUCAUGUGAUUUUUAAGCGUAGAAUAAUAUAAAUUCACAUUUGAGAAUUUCGGUUUUGUAGUAAUAGUAAUUCAAUUUAUGAAUUAUUCGAUGUGUAAAAACUAUCCUUGAAAAAAGGGGGGAACAGCGAUUAUAAUGGAAGAUGGAAAUAAUUAUAAAUUUAAAUAUAAUUUUGUAUUUAUUUUCAUGUAUAUGUUAUACUUGCGCGUUAACAUGCAAAUACUUACGAGCGUACCCACAACCGCAGCAGGUCUCCUAGGUUAACAGCCUAUGGUUAAAUAGAAAAAAGUAAGUAAGGGAAGU